rnacentral:lncRNA from 1 species
CGGUAUCCGUUGCAGGAGGUGGAGCAGGAUCGCGGUCGUUUAUCAUGGCCUGUCAGGUAGUAAUGGAGCUGCGUGGGAUCCGUCGUAGGGAGUGGAGCAGUGCUGCGAUCGUUACUGCGGCCUGUCAGGGAGUGGUGGAGCUGCGCGGAAUCCACCGCAGGAAGUGUAGCAGAAUCGUGGCCGUGAUUGCGGCCUGGAAGUGCAGAUCUGCCGGCUGAAGUUCGGCCGUGGUCGGAGUC